AUGCAGUUCACUUCUCAAAAGGACUUUGCAAGGUGGGACACAUGGAGCAAGCGAGGAUGGAGGCCCCUCCAUGGAAAGGAAAGUACACAAAGUAGCACAAAGAACCAGCAAAACAAAACAGAUUCCUUGAACAUUGAACAUUGUUUACAAUUACUGGAUGCUUGCUCAGCCUUAACUUUUAUGGGCUGCAGUUUUGGAAAAUACAAAUUAAAGAAAGAUACAUCAGGCUCUGUGGCCCAACACAGAAGAUAGCACUGGAGGAAGUCUGGAGGGGCUGCUGGAUACACAGUAGCCAGACCCCAGGCUGGGCCAGGGCAGUGGCAGUUGCUCAUGGCUGGGACAAGGACACUUCAACACUUCUCAAGGAGGUAGGAUCCUGACAUAAACAAGUACUCAGCACCAGCACGGACAACCUUCCCCAAAAUGAGCAGGUUGCUGCUGCUCCUCUUCUUUCUGAGAAGCGGUGCACAGUGAAAAUUCCAAAUUCUCGACAAUUACACCUUUCCCUCCAGAUUUUUAGCUAGAGUCACCUUUUGGUAACUUCCAUUUGUACAAUACUUGUUCAAAGCUCUUUUGUAUUUAUUAUUUUAUUAUAUUGGAUCAUCACAAGCCCCAGAGGGAGAGCUAUCCUCCUGUUUUGCCUGAAGAAACAGAGGCCCAGAAAGGCCCAGGAUUCCAGCAGCCAAAAUGGUAAGAGUUAAGACUUGCGGGGCCACAUGUCCUUCUGCCGGGCUUCCCUCCACACCACGCAGCUCCCCGCUGUGAGUCAGCCAGCAAGAGUUCCAAGCAUGGGGCCUCACAUCCCCUGUGGUGGAAAGGUAACUUCCCCCAGUUCCUAUUUACAGCCUGGACCAUUGGCCCCACUAUUUACAUUUUUGCUCCUUCUCUCCGGCAGGACCCGGGUGCCGUGACCCAACCUUGUCUGUUUUGCUUGAAAGCCUAUCCCACUCUGACUCCUACUCUGACACACUCUUUAUUCAGAUUGCACUAAGUUGGAAACCAGGGGCCAGCGCUGGGAGCGCGAUGAAGUCAACUUUCAUGGCAAGAUGAUGGAGCACUUGGGAAAUGCUGGCAAGGACAAGCAUGUAAGCAAUCUCUGUAUGUGGUAAUAUGUGUUUUCAAAAUAUUGUAAUCUGAUCAAAGCAGAACACAAGGUGACAUGCACCUACUGAUCACAGGUAUGUAAAAGCAAGCUUCUUCUGCAAAUGGCCAAGAAAGAGAAGUGAACUUUGAGGCAAAGAGAUUUUUAUCUUCACAGGUUUUCCUUUCCUAUAAUGCUCAAAACUAUAAUAAAUAAUAAACAUGAUCAUAAGAAGCA
rnacentral:lncRNA from 12 species